GCAAGUCGAGAUUCGAGUAUACAGAUUGCCACUCUCGCCGGUUACGGUCUGUGGCGAGUGAAUGGCGAGAGUGUCACCGAUGACGUAUAUGGACGGGAGCGGUUUCCUCUCUUUCGUAUUAUCUGAACAACGACGAGGUGAACUUGGUGUUUCAUUUACGUCUGGCACCCACACAUCUCGCAGAACGAACUAAAAGCGUCUAGUUAUCUAUAGCUACAAAGUUAAUGCGUCAGACAGCGGAGCAGGGCGAUUGACGUGGAUGUAAGACGAGAGCGAGACGACGGCCUGAAGGAGGAAGAAACGACAGCGUCAACGUUUGCUGCUUUGAAUUUGAGUUCGGUACUUCGUCAGUGACCGGUAUAUAGGCGCCUGACUGACUGUUCUAUUUCCUCUUUGUGGCGGUUGGCGUAGGCGUGGCUCGGUACCACGCGGUCGCUAUUUUCACAGCAGAUUGAUAUUUUGGAACGACAGUCACAUGAUGCAUGGAAUAGUUACUCUCACACUCUAUUUAGCGCUGGAUUGUUUACAAGUCUCAAUUUGUCUCUUUCCGCGCGGUUUCGGGAAACUGUUCGCCACGUACGUAUAAUGUGUGUUCUUUGUCACGCUCUUACUUCCGUCUGGCAAGGAAGCAGCUGUCGAUCUUCAGUAAACAAAAGAGGUGUAUUCUAAAUUUAGCAUGAUACGUCAUUAACGCCGUCCAGAAUUCUUUUCAGAGCGACGUAGACAGAUCGUGUAGUUCAGUUAAUAGGCAGUUAAACAUUUUUGUGUUUGCGUGACGGUCAUCGACCCAUGAGCAGUACUGCACGGUAUUGUAGUGUAGACUUAUUGUCAGCUGCCUGGUUGGUACUUAAAUUAGAUUGUAUAACAUGCGCAGCUAGGUGUCUGUGGGACAGUGAGACACACUGAGUUGUGGAUGACUUCUUUGCUAGAGAUAAGGAGCCUGGUCAGGAUUAAUUAACUAUGUUUAGCUAAGAUGUUUGCACUUGUGUAUGACCGGGGGCUCGAGGGGCGGCAGCCUCUUCGCUCAGUGUAGGAUUUGAAAUUUUCUGUACCAGUGACUUCUGUUUACGGUCCGACACGCGAGGUAGUUAGUGCUUACUCAUGAUGACGUCCACACGUGAACAUUCUCCUACGCCAC